AGUGAACGCUGGCGGUAGGCCUAACACAUGCCAGUCGAACGGCAGCACAGUAAGAGCUUGCUCUUACGGGUGGCGAGUGGCGGACGGGUGAGGAAUACAUCGGAAUCUACUUUUUCGUGGGGGAUAACGGAGGGAAACUGACGCUAAUACCGCAUACGACCUACGGGUGAAAGCAGGGGAUCUUCGGACCUUGCGCGAUUGAAUGAGCCGAUGUCGGAUUAGCUAGUUGGCGGGGUAAAGGCCCACCAAGGCGACGAUGCGUAGCUGGUCUGAGAGGAUGAUCAGCCACACUGGAACUGAGACACGGUCCAGACUCCUACGGGAGGCAGCAGUGGGGAAUAUUGGACAAUGGGCGCAAGCCUGACCCAGCCAUACCGCGUGGGUGAAGAAGGCCUUCGGGUUGUAAAGCCCUUUUGUUGGGAAAGAAAAGCAGCAGGUUAAUCCCCCGCUGUUCUGACGGUACCCAAAGAAUAAGCACCGGCUAACUUCGUG
rnacentral:rRNA from 1 species